AGCGUUGUUCGGAAUUACUGGGCGUAAAGCGCGCGCAGGUGGUCUUUCAAGUCAGUGGUGAAAGCCCGGAGCUCAACUCCGGAAAUGCCAUUGAAACUGUAUGACUUGAGGAUGAGAGAGGUGAGUGGAAUUCCCAGUGUAGAGGUGAAAUUCGUAGAUAUUGGGAAGAACACCGGUGGCGAAGGCGGCUCACUGGCUCAUAUCUGACGCUCAGGCGCGACAGCGUGGGGAUCAAACAGG
rnacentral:rRNA from 1 species